CAGUCGCCGCGGUAAUACGAAGGGGGCUAGCGUUGUUCGGAAUCACUGGGCGUAAAGGGUGCGUAGGCGGAUUCUUAAGUCAGGGGUGAAAUCCCGAGGCUCAACCUCGGAACUGCCUUUGAUACUGGGGAUCUUGAGUCCGGAAGAGGUGAGUGGAACUGCGAGUGUAGAGGUGAAAUUCGUAGAUAUUCGCAAGAACACCGGUGGCGAAGGCGGCUCACUGGUCCGGAACUGACGCUGAGGCACGACAGCGUGGGGAGCAAACAGGAUUAGAUACCCCGGUAGUCCCUGUCUCUUAUAA
rnacentral:rRNA from 1 species